rnacentral:misc_RNA from 1 species
AAAAGGCCAAAAAGCUGCUUAUCUAACAUUGUUAUGGCCUUGCCUUCCAGAUUCUUCUUCUCUUCUUAAACUUUUCAGCGCGACCAACGUCUUCGAGGUUUUCAUUUCUUGUUUUUGCGCUUCAUCUAUGUGAGUUUUCUAUCUGCUCUGUACAUGUUGUUUAUAAUCGCUGCUAAUCCUGAAUUCCAAAUCAUGCUUUAAUGUUCCCGAAAUCAAUAAGACUACAAAUGUCUAGGAAUAUGGCUUAUGCGGAAAGCCCCCUACCAGAAAUUACAUUUAUCAUCUCAAUUGUUUUCUAGAGGAAUGAGAAAUUAUGUGCUUUGGCUUUUUAAAGAUUCUUUUCUUAGGUAUUCUUUAUAGAAUUGAUGCAGGCAAUGAUUGGCAGUGACAACCUUUAGCAAAACCCAAUUUAGAAUUUCAGUAGAUUAGGUUAAAGAAGUUAGAAGCCUGCUUAGACUGAAGAGAUGUGCUUGGUCUUUGUUAGGCUUUAUUCUGUAUGUAAUUAAUGGAUGGCAAUGAUUGGCAGCAAAAUCCAAUUUAGAAUGUCAGUAUAUUAAAUCAACAGAAUUUAGAAGCCUGCUUGGAGUGAAGGGAACAAUUAUCCUUUAGAUUUGUGGUCAUGGCCUUCUUGUGUAACUGAUGAGACCUUUGCUGAGAUGAGAAUGGAUGUAAUCUGAUAUGUUAGUGCAGCCUGUUCCGCCUAAGAAAGACUGGUAACAAGUUCUUUCUCAAAAUGUGCGAUUGAACCUUAACAUAGUUCUGAGAGGGACAAUCCUUGGGUGUUUUCACUUGGGUGUCCCAAAUCACCCAACCAUACUCUUGAAGUCUGGAUCUCAAUCAGACUCCCUAUUAGACCAUUGCUUUGGCUGUGCAUGGUGGUUGCUCAUCUAACUUGACUGGGGAUGUUUAAUGUAGUUUCUUGAUCGAUCCUACCUGUGACCUACUCCAAAAGGAAAUCCAAGCAUCAUCAUUUAUGCAUCUAUUGAGUUCCUCUGCUUGUUACAACUUGCUUUCUGCCACUUGGAGCUAUAAAAUUCUUAAACAUGCACCCUGAGAAUAAGUAUUAUACAUACUACUAUCUCCUAUCAUGUGUUCUAUCUAUUAAUGUUUGUUGUUGUUUACUCAUUCUCUAAUCCAUUAUUUGAUCUAAAUAUUAUUUUGAUUUUGUUAACAUGUUAUCUUUAGGGAAUCUGUAGAUCAGCCUAUCAUCCCAGGACUGCCAGAUGAUCUGGCUUUGCGAUGUCUUGCAAAAGUAUCCCAUGGGCACCAUGGGCUGCUUGAAACUGUCUCAAAGAGGUGGAGAUAUUUAAUUCGUAGCUCAGAAUAUGCACACUAUAAAGCUAAAGAAGGGUGGUGUGGAAAUUGGCUGUUUGCUCUUACAGAACAGUCUAACAACCAGUGGAUUGCCUAUGAUCCUGAUGCUGAUAGGUGGCAUCCCCUGCCAAAGUUUUCGGGGGAUUAUGCUGACUGGCAUCAUUCUGGGUUUUCUUGUGUUUGUGUUUAUAAUCGACUCCUAGUGAUUGGUGGGUCCUAUGCACCACAAGAUUCAUCACUUCCCCAUCAAAAGCCUUUGAUAACUGAUUAUGUCCUGCAGUUUGAUCCAUUUAAGAAAGAGUGGAAAAGCAUGGCAAGCAUGCGAACACCGCGUUCUCAUUUUGCAUGCAGUGUUAUCGGUGGUAAGGUUUAUGUUGCUGGGGGGCGCAACUUGUCUUGUACUAGAGGACUUGCCCUUGCUGAGGUUUAUGAUCCGCUAAUAGACAAGUAUGUGAUGGGGGUGAUAUGUUUCUUUUGUUCAUCAAAAGUUUGUGACGGUUAAUUUGAAACUUCCAAUUCCUUCUUGUAGAUUGUAGCUGUGUGCUUGAUGUUUUUAUUUAGUGCUAAAUGUGAUCUUAACUGUUUUUGGUUUGGCUUAAAGCUUAAUUACACCCCUGUAUUUAUUGGGAGAUUCAAUUUAGUCCAUUUUCAACUUUUGGUUUAAUUUAAUCCAGAAGUUUCAAUUUAGACUCAAUUUAGGCUUAAAUUAAGAAAUUAAGAAAUUAAGAAAUUUAGUCUUAAAAUUAAGAAAUUGAACUUCUUCAUUUUUUAUUUAAAUCAAGGAAUCAAGAAAUUUAGCUCAUAAAAUUUUAAUUUUUUGGUUAAAUUGAGCUUAAAUUGAAACUUCUGAGCUAAUUUGGACAAAAAGUUAAAAAUAGGCUAAAUUGAACUUUCUCAAUAAGUACAGGGGCUAAAUUGAACAUUUUGCCCAUUUUGGUUUAUUUUCUCAACGGGAGCUUUGGUUUUAUAUUUUAUUGUUUACACAAUUUAUGACAUUUAAUGAUUUAGUACAUUUCUAUCUUGAAAUCAAGAGUUUUUUCCCCCCAAUUUUUUACCUUUGCUGUGAGCUUAUUCAUAUCUUCUGGGCAUCAACUUUUCUUCUCACAUUUUUUUUUAUUUAUAUUAUUUUAAUUUCAUUUUUUUUUAUGUGUUGUAGCUAGAAUUGCAUUUGCACGUUUCAUUUGUUUGAAAUAAGUUCUCCACUAUUACAGUGAAAUUUAAUAUCACCAUAUUCUAUGAAUAAAAAUUCUUCAUAUCGACCGUAGCAUAAUAGGCUUCCCUAAAUUUGUCUCUCUUAUAUAAGUUUAUUCAUAUCUUUUCUUCAUUUUGCUAUAUUUGCUUUAUCUUUAAUUUUUCUAGGACUUUUUCUUAGCACUAGACGCUAACACUAGGUCAACAUGGAUUGCUCAUUGUCUCAGCUAACAGACACAUGUUUUUGUAAACAUCUUUCAUUGUUAAUAAGUAGUUAAUGUUUUUGUAAACAUCUUUCAUUGUUAAUAAGUAGUUA